GCUGGCGUAGCUUAGUGGUAAAGCUCCUAGUUUCCAAUCAGGGCGUCGGUGGUUCGAUUCCACCCGUCAGCA
rnacentral:tRNA from 1 species